rnacentral:rRNA from 1 species
UACGGAGGGAGCUAGCGUUGUUCGGAAUUACUGGGCGUAAAGCGCGCGUUAGGCGGCUUUGUAAGUUAGAGGUGAAAGCCCCGGAGCUCAACUCCGGAACUGCCUUUAAAAACUGCAUCGCUUGAAUCCAGGAGAGGUGAGUGGAAUUCCGAGUGUAGAGGUGAAAUUCGUAGAUAUUCGGAAGAAACACCAGUGGCGAAGGCGGCUCACUGGACUGGUAUUGACGCUGAGGUGGCGAAAAGCGUGGGGGAGCAAACAGG